GAAAAAGUUAAACAAUAUGCGUAUUUAACCUCUUAUUGAUAAAUGUUAACAAGCACAGUGUUCAACAUAUAGAUGGUACUCAAUAAGUAGGUUGAAUAAAUAUAUUGAAAAAUAAAACUCAUUUGGUUAUUUUCAUUGCCUUAAAGUUAUUAUACUUGAUGAGAUGUUAAAAAUUAUUUACAUCAAGUCUGAACAUUUCUAUUUGCCCUGGUGUUAACCUCUAUUAAUUUCUAUUUACAUGAGAACCAAGAGCUUGGGGACCAAGCUGUGGUAAUAGAAGGUGUUUUCGUUGUUUUUGUUGUUGUUGUUUGUUCAUUUGUUUUUAUCAACACCAAAUUGCCUCCAGCCCUCUAGGAUUCCUGAAUUUAAUUCAGAUCACAUAAUAUCUUAAACAAAAUUUUGGAUAGUGUUGCUUUGUUUAUACAAUUUAAGUCUGUAAACCCCUACCUUCUACAACCCCUACUACUGCAUAAAAGUUUCAUCAACAAUAAUAAGAAUUAUGGUCAGAAUAAAAACAGAGCAAUACUUUUUAGAAUAUUGAUACUUAUGUAUUUUAUAAUUCAUUAUUAAUUUUGAUCCUAGUCUGCAAAUUGUGAUAUGAGAGAGACUUUAACAAAAACAGCAAUGAAGUACAAAUGCAAAUAUAAUCUAUGAGAAAUUUAAAUAAUAUCUGUUAUCUCUAUGUAUUGAAAUAAAUGAUUUUAAAUCUCAAAUUCUUUUAUUUAGGUGAUAUCAUAUUCUAUACAUGAAACAGGAAAUCAUGUAAAUUCCUCAAACUAUUUUGGAACUUUAUUUAUCUAUGCUCUUAAUAACAGUCAUUUCAAAAACUAACAUCCAAGCUCUAAUUUUUAGAGCUCAUAUUGAACUGUUUCACUUAACUCCUCCCAUGAAUUCAUGGAUUUUCUAUUACUUAGCAUUAAGCAAAGUCUAGAAUUUCUGUAGUGUUGUCUAAUCCAGUUACAGAAAUAUUUAUUGAAAAUGUACAUAUGUGCCAAGAACUGCCCAAAGCACUUGAAAACCAAAGAUGAAAAGAUGUUAAAGUACCAAAUGAUUUUUGAGCAGAAAUAUAAGAACGAUGAACUCUACUUCAGGGAACUGGAAAAUACUUUGAAGCCCAGCUUCCUUAUGAAGGCUGAAUAGAAUUUCAACAAGGGAGGGAAAAUCACCGAGGCAUAACAGGAACAGAGUAAAAAGUACAUAUCCGAUGAUGGCGAGAAAUCAAUGUAGUUAGCCCCCAGACUCCAGUGGGAGCAGCUACAGUGGGAGACAAGGCCCCAGAGGGAGCUUAGACCUGCAUUUAUAAGAUCCUGAUUGCCCUGCUGUAGUUAGGAUGUUACCAUGUAACAGCAGGAAGACAGAUCUUUAGUGUUUUUAUCUGGAAAGCAAGCUGGUUAGAUUUAUAGUUUAGGCCAGGCAUGGUGACUCACGCCUGUAAUCCCAGCACUUUGGGAGACCAGGGUAGGUGGAUCACCUGAGGUCAGGAGUUCGAGACCAACCUGGAUAACAUGGUGAAACCCUGUCUCUACUAAAAAUACAAAAAAAAAAAAAAAAAAAA
rnacentral:lncRNA from 1 species